GGCUCCUGUGGAGAGCGUCCCAGCAGCCUCCCAGGUGUGUGUGCUGAAUGAGACGCCUGUCCUCAGUCCACCGCUUGAAUACAAGUGGCCAGCCUCUUUCCCUCGAAGUUCGGAUGGGAUCUGCUGCCCCUGAGUUGGGCUCUGGGCCUGGUGAAUCCCAGCGUGUGAACCGUUUAAAAAAGAAAUAUUGUUUUUUUAGAAGCCAAUAAAGCCAGCGAAAGCUUUUAGCCUCUUCCCACAGUCAGUGCUUUGCAACUUGGACUAGCACUUCUUGUUGCCACAAACCAAGGCCCUGGCAGGAAAGCCUUUUGUUAAUCACCACUCUACAGCAUAUUUCAUUUCAAGGUUCUUACACUGAGGAUAGAGAUCUUUGGGAUUCCAUCA